GGAUGUGAGGGCUAUCUGGCUGUGACAUCUGUCAUCCCAUUAAUCUCCAGGGUUGAUUCGGCUGAUCUCACUGGUUCGGUGGUAUCUCCUUCCUCCCUCAUGGCUCCAUGUUCGUACCUUCUGAAGCUGUGUGCUCAGUAGAAGAGGAUAACCUUCCCCCAAUAGAGACGACCAGUCUUCAGUUGAGGUUACAAGAGUAGCUGUGUUCCCCUGCUAGUAUCGUCAAAAAAGCUCUCACAUUAUGCAGAAAUAAGCUUCUUCUUUAAAUAUGGAGAGUU
ensembl:misc_RNA 7SK 7SK RNA